AGUGAACGCUGGCGGCAGGCCUAACACAUGCAAGUCGAGCGGCAGCGCGGGGGCAACCCUGGCGGUGAGCGGCGGACGGGUGAGGAAUUCGUCGGAAUCUGCCUUUUUGUGGGGGAUAACGUAGGGAAACUUACGCUAAUACCGCAUACGACCUACGGGUGAAAGUGGGGGACCGCAAGGCCUCACGCAGAAAGAUGAGCCGACGACCGAUUAGCUAGUUGGUGGGGUAAAGGCCCACCAAGGCGACGAUCGGUAGCUGGUCUGUGGGGAUGAUCAGCCACACUGGGACUGAGACACGGCCCAGACUCCUACGGGAGGCAGCAGUGGGGAAUAUUGGACAAUGGGCGCAAGCCUGAUCCAGCCAUGCCGCGUGUGUGAAGAAGGCCUUCGGGUUGUAAAGCACUUUUGUCCGGAAAGAAAUCUUCCAACUUAAUACGUUGGGAGGAUGACGGUACCGGAAGAAUAAGCACCGGCUAACUUCGUGCCAGCAGCCGCGGUAA
rnacentral:rRNA from 1 species